CGUGAACUCGGAGAAAAAAGCAGUUUUUAUAACAACACGCGCAAUGAUUUACUCCCAUUGAUAGGUAGAUAAAAGCACGUUGUUCGAGCAUAACUGUAAACCAACAGUGUUAGUGGUGGAUGAAAAAAACAGCCUGUACUUCAAACUGUUUCAAUCACUAUUCUAAACGAGCGCUGAUUUUUGAAACUGGAAAAUUGCAGGGACCCCACUGAAAUGCAGUCCUCCAAGGUCACCUUCUUGAUACUGUUUCUCGUUCUCUUCGCCCUUUUAGGCGAUGUAGCGGACGCUUGCUGGAAAUUUAGCUGUAACAGACUAUGCCGAAAGAGAGGCUAUACGGAGGGGUACUGCAAAUCAGGGUUCCUCAGCUCAAGCUGCCGGUGUGUUGCAAGGUGGAAAAAAUAAGGUGACGAGGCGUGUUCCAGCAUCUCGCCAGUUUGCCGCAACCAAUUAUUCAGCACAUUACAAAUGAACCUCGGGCUCACUUUUUUAAGCGUACUUUCCAUUUUGUUUGUCUAAUGACACUAAUAAAUCUCGAUAAAAAGAACCUGUAUACCUAUAAGAGUUUUUAACACAUUUGUAAUAUCUUUCUUAUUUAAGAGUAAUUAAAUCC